UUGUGGAGGAGGACGCCGAAGGUGGGGCUAAUGACUGGGGUGAAGUCGUAACAAGGUAGCCGUACCGGAAGGUGCGGCUGGAUCACCUCCUAACAGGGAGACAACAAAAUGUUUAAUAUUAUUAUUUUGUCACCUUAGGUCGAUCGGUAUCUCACGUUUUUAAUUUAUUAAGAAUUUCAUUUCCUAAGUUUUUCUAGGUCACACCCAUUUUUUUUCCUGGGCCAUUAGCUCAGGUGGUUAGAGCGCACCCCUGAUAAGGGUGAGGUCCCUGGUUCAAGUCCAGGAUGGCCCAUAUCUCUAUGUUGGGGGUAUAGCUCAGUUGGUAGAGCGCCUGCUUUGCAAGCAGGAUGUCAGCGGUUCGAGUCCGCUUACCUCCACUGAUCACCACCUCUUCCAUAAUCGGUAGAAAGGAAAUUUUUUGAGUUGUGAUCAAAUUCUGAAAGAAUCUAGCUUCCUAAUGAAAUUAUUAAGAUGCUGGACUCAUUGAAUUAAUUUCAUUGUUUUCAGAGAACCUUGACAACUGCAUAGAUUAUUUUUAAAGACAAUAAGCAUCUUUAAUGAUGCAGAUUUAUUAUUUGUGCAAAUGCAUUAAUAACAAUUCUAUUAAGCUGAUGCUUCAAUUUUGAAGUUAUUGGUCAAGCUACAA
rnacentral:misc_RNA from 1 species